UACGGGGGGGGGCAAGCGUUGUUCGGAAUUACUGGGCGUAAAGGGCUCGUAGGCGGCCAACUAAGUCAGACGUGAAAUCCCCAGGCUCAACCUGGGAACUGCGUCCGAUACUGGAUGGCUUGAAUCCGGGAGAGGGAUGCAGAAUUCCAGGUGUAGCGGUGAAAUGCGUAGAUAUCUGGAGGAAUACCGGUGGCGAAGGCGGCAUCCUGGACCGGCAUUGACGCUGAGGAGCGAAAGCCAGGGGAGCAAACGGG
rnacentral:rRNA from 1 species